rnacentral:lncRNA from 1 species
UUAAAAGUAACUUUACUGGAGAUGUGGUCAGGAACGUCGGAGAAGCACCCAAAACGUCCACUGAGUGAGAAUCGGGCCACCGGAAGGCAGUAAAACUUCAAGUUAAACCACCAGAAACCCUAGAAGCCGAAUAGGUCACCCAAAAUCAACCAACCAAAAUCAUCAUAAAAUCUCCCAGAAUGUUCAGGAGAAGAAAAUACACUCGGAUAUCAAGAUGAGACACUUAGAAAAGUCUACGAUAGAUUGAAAUCUUCAUCGACCGUGAGGUCUCAGAAAUGACCCCCAAAAACCUCGAAACAGACUUCAUCCAAGACCACGAAGCACAUAGAAACAUGAUCGGACUCCGAUAGGUUGAAAUCUUCAUCGACCAUGAGGUCUCAGAAAUCACCCCCAAAAACCUCGAAACAGACUUCAUCCAAGACCACUAAGCACACAGAAACAUGAUCGGAUCGUCGUCGAGGCUCUGAUACCAUGUAAACAUUCAGAUUAGACCGAUAAACCAUAAAAAUUCUAGAGAGAGAAAGUAGAGAGAAGUCAGAGCAUUCAGGAACUCUCUGGAAGAGAGAAGUAUAUUACAGAAAAUGAAACGAGGAAAAUG